ensembl:lncRNA
CAUGUCUGUAGGUCUCGCUGUUUCACUCUCUCUUUGUGUAUUGACCUCUCUUUUGUUUGAGCACCUUCAUAGCACUUUCAUCACCUCUUUGUCCCUGAUCUGUUUGGAGAGCUCCUUGGUCUUCAUGGUGCCGCUUGCUUAGUGGUGUUGCAGACUCUGGGUCCUUUCAGAACAGAUCAAGUAAACGAACAGACGACCCCUGUCCUGCUGGUUUCACUGGAUUCUGAGAAGGUGUUCCACACCCCUGUCUUGUUGGUUCACUGUAUGCUGAGAAGGUGUUCCACGCCCCUGUCCUGCUGGCUUUACUGGAUGCUGG